AAGAUGUUAGUAAAAUAUUACACUGCCUUGUCAAGGCAGAGUUGCGAGUUAAACCCUCGCACAUCUUG